GCCGCGCUCCGCCCCGCCACCGAGUCCCCGCCGGGCGAGAGCGGCUCCACAUCCGGGUGCCGCCGCGUCCCGGGCCCGAGCGGCACCUCGUGAGGCCCUGCGACGUGCUCCGCGACGAGAACAGGGCGGGAAGGGUUUCGGGGAGUCGCGCGAUCCAGGAAAGAAAGGGAAGGAAACGGAUCCCUAAGCGUCCCCGGGACGCGGGGGGAGUGCGCAUGCGCGCGGCCGGGACCAGGGAGGCCGCCAGCCCGGCUUCCCAUUGGCUGUGAGGAAGAAGGCCUGGAAGUGGGACCGGAGGAAGUGAGAGGCGGCCGCCAGCCGGCUGCUGCGGUGCUGAGGUAAGAUAAACGCCUGCAAGCACUCUUGAGGCUGAAGCAGUGUGCUUGUUCACAGUGCUGGACACGGAACCCAGGAUCCAGACUAAGCCAGAUGCUAGUGGCCUCCAGUUCCUGACUUCAUCCUUCCUUACCACUAGAAGCUCCAGGGAACAAGGGGGUUCUUUCCCAACUGUCUCAGCACAAGUAUCUUUUUGACAUGACACCUCUAAAGAGAUUGUGUACAUAUGCUUCAGUUGGACUCUGAGGUCACAAUAUGCCUGGGUCUCAUGUUCUUUCUUCAUUUGGACAUGAUGUUAGGUCUACCCCCAAAUACUGGGUUUAAGAGCAGAAAUAAGGAGCUGAGUACUAAAGAAAACACUAAGUGCUCAAGGAUGAACUGUCUGUGGAAGAGGAACAGUAAUGAUUAUGUCAGAACAUACCAUGCAAUACCUAGACUGGAAUGGUUUGGAUUCCCAACUAGGUUGGCAGAACCACCCGACGUUGUAAGUGGUGUCAGCGGUUUGAGCGAAAGGAGCAAAGUGACAGUGCCAUCAGAAGGUGGGUCUAGCUCAGUGCUCCCUCUGUAUCCUUCAGCGGUUACCUCACAUGCAAGACAGAGGAACUAAUACUAUGUGUACAUAUAAUGGUUUGGGGUUCCUUUUUUGUCCCUUCUAACAUGUUGAGAAGCCACAAACGUUGGUGCUUGAGAAAGUCAUAGCCAACAUUUAUAUGGCCCAGAUUGUGAAAAAUGAAAUCUGACCUAUGUACCAGACUGGCUCUUGGGGUGCUCUGUUUAAAAACACCCCCACACACACACACACACUUACACACACACCUACCUCUGCCUGUCUGCCUUUGAGAACCAUGGCUUUUUCAUCCUAAUAGAUUUCUAUCAAUACCUUGGAUUUCAACCAGCAAAUAGCGGUCCUUUCUUUUUCCUUCCUAAGUUGCAUUUACAGUAAGUGAGAAUUUGAGCCUCAAAGCUUAGGAAAUCUUAGAUCUGUUUUGUUUUGUUUUGUUUUCUGUGGUUUCCCAGGAGGACAUUACAGAACGUGUGUUCUCUUCCUCUUGGCGUGCUAUCUGAUGCUCAUUGUGCAAACUGAGCAAUUAGUCAGGUCACCAUGUCCCUCUCCGUGACCACAGGGAGUUCAGUUAGAAUUCCUAGUACCAUCCAGGUUGAUGUCGUGUGCCUAUAGUCUCAGCUACUUGAGAAACUGAGGCAGGAGGAUUGUUAGAGUCCAGAAGUUAGAGUCUAGCCUGUACAACCAUCUUUUCCCAAAAAUAAACAAAUGGAAUGAUUUGUACCAAA